AGCUUUCUGAAUCCAUGCAGAGAUUUCGUCAGUUACCAACCUAUUAGGCGCUGAUCAGACUUCCAAGAUAAGUGCAGUU
rnacentral:pre_miRNA from 1 species